ACCGCCUGUAGAACAGUGUUUAAUGUUGUGUCCCCUCAGUAUCGGUUUAAUAUCUGAUCUGUCCCCUAUCUGGGGACCAUUUAUUAAAUGGAUUUUUUUUUUAAACGGGGGCUAAUUUUGAAGCUUGCUUCCGUCCCUCUAUGCAUUGACCUGAUAUGGCAGUAUCUUCGGAUACAGUGCACAAAAA